rnacentral:tRNA from 1 species
GGGGAUUUAGCUCAGUGGCAUAAGUGCCUGCCUUGCAAGCAGGCAGUCGUGAGUUCGACGAUCCCCG